UAAUAUAGCUGUAUAUGGUGCACCAUGAAUAGAGCUUGCAGAACUGGAAUUUGCUCUGGGUGAGUCAGUGAGUGAGUGGUGAAUGAAUGUGAAGGCCCUGGA